GACGGAGGAUGCAAGUGUUAUCCGGAAUCACUGGGCGUAAAGCGUCUGUAGGUGGUUCGAGAAGUCCACUGUUAAAAAUUGAGGCUUAACCUCAAAGAUGCCGUGGAAACUUUCAAACUUGAGUAUGGUAGGGGUAGAGGGAAUUUCCAGUGGAGCGGUGAAAUGCGUAGAUAUUGGAAAGACCACCGAUGGCGAAGGCACUCUACUGGGCCAUUACUGACACUGAGAGACGAAAGCUAGGGGAGCAAAUGGG
rnacentral:rRNA from 1 species